rnacentral:rRNA from 1 species
GGGGAAUAUUGGACAAUGGGGGCAACCCUGAUCCAGCCAUGCCGCGUGAGUGAUGAAGGCCUUAGGGUUGUAAAGCUCUUUCACCGGUGAAGAUAAUGACGGUAACCGGAGAAGAAGCCCCGGCUAACUUCGUGCCAGCAGCCGCGGUAAUACGAAGGGGGCUAGCGUUGUUCGGAAUUACUGGGCGUAAAGCGCACGUAGGCGGAUUGGUCAGUUAGAGGUGAAAUCCCGGAGCUCAACUCCGGAACUGCCUUUAAUACUGCCAAUCUAGAGACCGAGAGAGGUAAGUGGAACUCCUAGUGUAGAGGUGGAAUUCGUAGAUAUUAGGAAGAACACCAGUGGCGAAGGCGGCUUACUGGCUCGGAACUGACGCUGAGGUGCGAAAGCGUGGGGAGCAAAC